rnacentral:piRNA from 1 species
CGCGUUGCUAUUCGCACAGCCAAGGAU